rnacentral:rRNA from 1 species
CACGUAGGGGGCGAGCGUUGUCCGGAUUUAUUGGGCGUAAAGGGCUCGUAGGCGGCUCAGUAAGUCGGGUGUGAAACCUCCAGGCUCAACCUGGAGACGCCACUCGAUACUGCUGUGGCUAGAGUCCGGUAGGGGAGCAUGGAAUUCCUGGUGUAGCGGUGAAAUGCGCAGAUAUCAGGAGGAAUACCGGUGGCGAAGGCGGCAUCCUGGACCGGCAUUGACGCUGAGGAGCGAAAGCUAGGGGAGCAAACGGG